CUUGCCCUACGGGGGGCAGCAGUAGGGAAUUUUCGUCAAUGGGCGCAAGCCUGAACGAGCAAUGCCGCGUGAACGAGGAAGGUCUUCGGAUCGUAAAGUUCUGUUGAAGGGGAAAAAGAGCGGAGAGAGGAAAUGAACUCCGAUUGAUAUUACCCUUCGAGGAAGUCACGGCUAACUACGUGCCAGCAGCCGCGGUAAUACGUAGGUGGCGAGCGUUAUCCGGAAUGAUUGGGCGUAAAGGGUGCGUAGGCGGCCUGCUAAGUCUGAAGUGAAAGCCCGCGGCCCAACUGCGGGACUGCUUUGGA
rnacentral:rRNA from 1 species